rnacentral:rRNA from 1 species
AACGAACGCUGGCGGCAUGCCUAACACAUGCAAGUCGAACGAGACCUUCGGGUCUAGUGGCGCACGGGUGCGUAACGCGUGGGAAUCUGCCCUUGGGUUCGGGAUAACAGUUGGAAACGACUGCUAAUACCGGAUGAUGUCUUCGGACCAAAGAGUUAUCGCACAAGGAUGAGCCCGCGUAGGAUUAGCUUGUUGGGGAGGUAAGAGCUCACCAAGGCGACGAUCCUUAGCUGGUCUGAGAGGAUGAUCAGCCACACUGGGACUGAGACACGGCCCAGACUCCUACGGGAGGCAGCAGUGGGGAAUAUUGGACAAUGGGCGAAAGCCUGAUCCAGCAAUGCCGCGUGAGUGAUGAAGGCCUUAGGGUUGUAAAGCUCUUUUACCCGGGAUGAUAAUGACAGUACCGGGAGAAUAAGCCCCGGCUAACUCCGUGCCAGCAGCCGCCGCCG